ensembl:lncRNA
GGGAGGAAAAAGGGAAGGAAAAAGAAGGGGACGGGAGGGGAGGGGAGCAAAGGAAGCCAGGCCUGAUGGGGUCCCCGAGGGGAGCAGCGAAGGGAGGGGAGGAGCCGGCAGGUGUCGCUCGCGUGCUGAGCGCGCCCCCUGGCGCCGGGCCGUGGCCCCACCUGGUCCCGGCUGCCCACUCGAGCUCGGGGCGCAGCCUCGGUGUCCGGUGCACGGGGCGCGGACGGAUCGUGCGGGCUCCUACGGCAGCUCCGCGCUGGGUCCCGAGAUCCAUCCCAGGGAGGGGAAACAGGCUGCAGGCGGCGUGAGGCAGAGCGCUCCAGCUCCGAACGCCCCUCCAGGAGGGAGGCCACCGGGGCGGGGCGGGGCUGCCGGGCGUGGGCGGUGCAGCGCCCCAGGUGCCACUCGAAGCGCGCGGCAUCGGAGCGCGCAUGGCCGGGCCGGGGCCGGAGCCGGGGCGCGCGUGGCGGGCGCUCGCGCUGUGCGGGGCCUCCCUGUUCCUGGCGGCGGCAGCGGCCGGCGGAGCCCUGGUGGCCUGGAACCUGGCGGCCUCGACGGCCCGGGGCCCGCGCUGCCCCGAGCCGGGGCCUAACGCCACGACGCCGCUCCCGGGGCCGGACCCGGAGCUCGAGGAACUUCGGCGGCGGCUGGCCGAGGCCGCGCAGCGCGAGGACAGUCUGGCGGGGAGGCUGAGCCAGGCGGAGCGCGUCCGAGAGGAGCUGGAGCAGUCGCUGAGGGCCUUGGAGGGUCGACAAAGCCUGCUGCAGGCCCAGCUAAAGGCGCUGGACACGGAGAUGGACAAGGCCAAAGCGCGGGCGGCCCGGCUGGGGGUCGAGAACGGGGCGCUGGCAGAAGCCCUGGCGCGCGGGGAGGCGGCGGCCACGGAGGCUGCGCGGCAGCUGGAUGAGGCGCAGCAGCGCGCGGGCGCCGCCGAGGCCGAAGGCGAAGCCUGCGUUGCCCGGGAGGUGGCGCUACGCGAGCACCUGUGAGUAAGGGGCGGGCCCGCGGGGGACAGAGGGACGGGAUGCAGAGCCAAUAACUGUGCAGCACCUUGUUCUUUCCGCCAAUCAGCACUUCGGGCGUGGUCUGGGCGGGGACAUGUAGUUGUGGGCGUGGUCUGAGGUCCGGGGCUUUGUUACCUCCAGCGAGGGUCCCGGGAUAAACUUAGGGGUGGAUGACAGGCAGCUCUCUGGGGGCGAGGGAGCGGGGCAGGUUGGGGCUGGCAGUCUGGAGGCAGGAGUUCCAGGGCUCAAGAGCAAAUUGGGAGCCGGGCAUUGUGGUGCACGCCUGUAAUCCCAGCACUGGGGAGGCUGAGGCAGGAGGAUCGCCGAGAGUUCGAGGCCAUCCUGAACGACAGAGCGAGACCCUGUCUCAAAAAACAAAACAAAACAAAAAUAAAUAAAAACAAUUGGGGGCCGGUGACUCGGGAAGAACGGGGAGCGAAGAACAGGUGCAAAGAAAAGGAUGCACUGGGCCAGGGAUUUGGCUCAGUGGCGCCGCUCCUGCCUCGCAAGCUCAAGGUCCUGAGUUCGAUCCCCGGUUCAAAGAAAGAAAGAAAGGAAAGGAAGGAAGGGAGGGAAGUACUGAGGGAAGGGUCGAUAGUUAGGGUCCCCGGGGGUCCCGGGCCGGCCCUGCUGACGCCCCUUCCCGCAGCUCUGCCCUGGAGGCUGCCCUGGGCGCCCCGAGCCGAGGACCCCGGCCCCGCUCAGGGUCGCGAUCCCGGCCCCAGCCGCGCACUCGGCCCGGACCCUCCCGGGGCUGCCGGCGUCCGUCGCGGCCCGUGCGGGGCUGAGCCGCCCUGAGACCACUCGGAGCCCCGCAGCGACAGGCAGGCAGGUGGCCACGCGGGACCGGACGACAUCCACGCUCGGCCUCAGGCCGCCGACGCCCGAAGGAAAACAUCACAGACAGGGACGGCGCUCUCCCGACCAUCCAAUCCGUAUCCCAGACGGGGAAACUGAGGCCCACGGAGAUCAGGGCCAGUGUCUUGGAGAAACAAGAGGUGCACAUAGAAGCCGGGUGCCGUGAUACACACCUGCAUCCCAGCACUCGGGAGGCUGCGGCAGGGGGAGAGGGGCGAGUUGGAGUCCAGCCUGGGCUGCGUGGGGAGAUCCUGUCCGAAAGCAAGACAAACAAAAAAAUUGAGAGCUGUUUAAAUAAAGGAGUGUCCGACAGGCUACGAAGUGGAAUACUAUUCAACCCUUUAAAAGGCCAAAGUAGAGGCUCUCCCAGAUAGAACCGGUGAGAAGCGAG